AUUAUAAUAAAUGAUCCAAAUUACAGAAUAGAGCAGUAGGGAAGGAGAGAGCUCACGGGAAGGAUGAGAUCGGAGACGACGGCGGAGCAGACUGAGGAAACGGAGCGAACGGGUACUCCGGCGAUGCCUUUCCCGGCGACCCAGGCCUCCAAUGAAUGGAGGGUCUUGAUCUAUUACUGGGUGCUCUGGCUUCGCCGACGCCGUCGAUCACCCAUCCUUACCCGGAGAUACCCAUGGGCUGGUCGCCGGAAGUGGAGCCGGCGGUGGUGGGUGUUGCCGGUGGUCCUCCUCCUCUUUUCUAGAUGGUCCAAUUUUGGG